CAGCAGCCGCGGGAAUACAGAGGGUGCGAGCGUUAAUCGGAUUUACUGGGCGUAAAGCGUGCGUAGGCGGCUUUUUAAGUCGGAUGUGAAAUCCCUGAGCUUAACUUAGGAAUUGCAUUUGAUACUGGGAAGCUAGAGUAUGGGAGAGGAUGGUAGAAUUCCAGGUGUAGCGGUGAAAUGCGUAGAGAUCUGGAGGAAUACCGAUGGCGAAGGCAGCCAUCUGGCCUAAUACUGACGCUGAGGUACGAAAGCAUGGGGAGCAAACAGGAUUAGAUACCCGUGUAGUCCCUGUCUCUUAUAA
rnacentral:rRNA from 1 species